GACGAACGCUGGCGGCGUGCUUAACACAUGCAAGUCGAACGGAAAGGCCUCUUUCGGGGGGUACUCGAGUGGCGAACGGGUGAGUAACACGUGAGUAACCUGCCCUUGACUUUGGGAUAACUUCAGGAAACUGGGGCUAAUACCGGAUAGGAGCUCCUGCUGCAUGGUGGGGGUUGGAAAGUUUCGGCGGUUGGGGAUGGACUCGCGGCUUAUCAGCUUGUUGGUGGGGUAGUGGCUUACCAAGGCUUUGACGGGUAGCCGGCCUGAGAGGGUGACCGGCCACAUUGGGACUGAGAUACGGCCCAGACUCCUACGGGAGGCAGCAGUGGGGAAUAUUGCACAAUGGGUGGAAGCCUGAUGCAGCAACGCCGUGUGCGGGAUGACGGCCUUCGGGUUGUAAACCGCUUUCGCUCAUGACGAAGCUUUGUGUGACGGUAGUGGGUAAAGAAGCACCGGCUAACUACGAG
rnacentral:rRNA from 1 species